CUUGCCCCUCGAGGCGUUGCAGUCCAACAUUGUGUUGAGCCUGUGUCAUGAGGUGGCAGAGAACAAAAGGUGUACAUCAUCAUCUGCAUUCAGUUCCUAUAACAGUGGGGAUUUGGAUUUGAUGGAGUUCACCAACAUA